GACGAACGCUGGCGGCGUGCCUAAUACAUGCAAGUCGAACGCAUUUUCUUUCACCGUAGCUUGCUACACCGAAAGAAAAUGAGUGGCGAACGGGUGAGUAACACGUGGGUAACCUGCCCAUCAGCGGGGGAUAACACUUGGAAACAGGUGCUAAUACCGCAUAAUUCCAUUUACCGCAUGGUAGAUGGGUGAAAGGCGCUUUUGCGUCACUGAUGGAUGGACCCGCGGUGCAUUAGCUAGUUGGUGGGGUAACGGCCUACCAAGGCUGCGAUGCAUAGCCGACCUGAGAGGGUGAUCGGCCACACUGGGACUGAGACACGGCCCAGACUCCUACGGGAGGCAGCAGUAGGGAAUCUUCGGCAAUGGACGCAAGUCUGACCGAGCAACGCCGCGUGAGUGAAGAAGGUUUUCGGAUCGUAAACUCUGUUGUUAGAGAAGAACAAGGAUGAGAGUGGAAAGUUCAUCCCUUGACGGUAUCUAACCAGAAAGCCACGGCUAACUACGUG
rnacentral:rRNA from 1 species